CCCUUAGAUGUCCGGGGCCGCACGCGCGCUACACUGAAGGAAUCAACGUGUGUCCUCCCUGGACACAGGGUGGGGUAACCCGUUGAACCUCCUUCGUGCUAGGGAUUGGGGAUUGGAACUGUUCCCCAUGAACGAGGAAUUCCCAGUAAGCGCGAGUCAUAAGCUCGCGUUGAUUACGUCCCUGCCCUUUGUACACACCGCCCGUCGCUACUACCGAUUGGAUGGUUCAGCGAGAUCUUCGGAUUGGUCCGGGCGUGGCUGGCAACAGUCAUGCUGGGGUGCCGAGAAGAUGAUCGAACUCGACCCUCUAGAGGAAGUAAAAGUCGUANCA
rnacentral:rRNA from 1 species